CCCUUAAGGUGUCGCAAGUCUAGUAUGGAAUGAGUGAUGUAUUGGACGUCAUCAUUGAUGACGUUCAUUCGAACGAAUGAUAAAGGGGGCUAAGUUUCGUUAAGCUGGCGCAUAUAGUCGCGAUUUGUGGCGCUUGAAUACUGGCCGAGCACGUUUGCUGAAAUUUGACAUGUAUAUGGACAAGAAUGCGAUCUACCUGUUGGCGUAGGCGUUAUACCUGGGAAAAAUCAAGUUUUCGAGUAUUUUGCGUUUAAAUAUUUUUAUGGGAAAGAGCACGCGCGCAUGACGUCAUGAAAGGCGCUUAGGCUAGCUUCCAUCUUGCUACGAAACAAAGAAACUGACGUUACGCGUUAUUAAUUUAAUAUAAAGUUAGGCGUUUAAUCGAUAAACAAAGACGUAAUAAUUGUGUUUGAAUAUCAAUCGGAAGUACACAUGCAUGUCUUUUGUGCACAGUGUGGUUUUUUAAUAAACAUGACAUAAAUCUAUGUGUUAUUCAACGUAUUGUGUGCGACGAGUUGAAGAGAGGUUUACACGGCUAGGCUUUCCGAGAUAAAUCGUAACGAAAUAGCAGACACCACACAGCGUCUCAUCUGAUUCUACGCUGUUUGCCAAGGCCGAUACUAUAAUGAAUGGAAAUGCACAAACUCAGUAACUGGCAAGCAUA